GACGGACGCUGGCGGCGUGCUUAACACAUGCAAGUCGUACGGUAAGGCCCUUUCGGGGGUCCACGAGUGGCGAACGGGUGAGUAACACGUGAGUAACCUGCCCACAACUUUGGGAUAACGCUAGGAAACUGGUGCUAAUACUGGAUAUGUGCCCCUGCUGCAUGGUGGGGGUUGGAAAGCUCCGGCGGUUGUGGAUGGACUCGCGGCCUAUCAGCUUGUUGGUGGGGUAGUGGCCUACCAAGGCGGCGACGGGUAGCCGGCCUGAGAGGGUGACCGGCCACAUUGGGACUGAGAUACGGCCCAGACUCCUACGGGAGGCAGCAGUGGGGAAUAUUGCACAAUGGGCGCAAGCCUGAUGCAGCAACGCCGCGUGCGGGAUGACGGCCUUCGGGUUGUAAACCGCUUUCAGCAGGGACGAAGCUUUUUGUGACGGUACCUGCAGAAGAAGCACCGGCUAACUACGUG
rnacentral:rRNA from 1 species